UUUUAGGGAGACCUACCCAACUGUGAAUCGAAAGCGAAAGCAAAUAGAUUCAGAGAUGGUCUACUCUAGGUCGGUCGCAGAUUGGUAAGAGCUUUCAAAGUAUUAUAAUUCCGGUCUGCUUCGUCUAAAAAACGCAGCAACUAACAAUUUGUUAGACUGCUGGGUUAGAACCAGCCAGAACCUUGAAAACUGCAUAGAAAAGAGAAAGAAUUAGCAGGCAGACACAGACAUUAAAGAUUUAAUGGAAGUGAAAGCAGGUGAAACACCAAUGAAAUUGU
rnacentral:misc_RNA from 1 species